UGGGGAAUUUUGGACAAUGGGCGCAAGCCUGAUCCAGCCAUACCGCGUGGGUGAAGAAGGCCUUCGGGUUGUAAAGCCCUUUUGUUGGGAAAGAAAUCCAGCUGGCUAAUACCCGGUUGGGAUGACGGUACCCAAAGAAUAAGCACCGGCUAACUCUGUGCCAGCAGCCGCGGUAAUACAGGGGGUGCGAGCGUUAAUCGGAAUUACUGGGCGUAAAGGGCGCGUAGGCGGUCGAGUAAGUCGGAUGUGAAAUCCCCGGGCUUAACCUGGGAAUUGCAUUCGAUACUGCUUGGCUAGAGUGUGGAAGAGGGAAGCGGAAUUUCCGGUGUAGCGGUGAAAUGCGUAGAUAUCGGAAGGAACACCAGUGGCGAAGGCGGCUUCCUGGUCCAACACUGACGCUGAGGCGCGAAAGCGUGGGGAGCAAACAGGAUUAGAUACCCUAGUAGUCCCUGAGCGGGCUGGCA
rnacentral:rRNA from 1 species